rnacentral:sRNA from 1 species
UUCACUCCACUCGAGGAUCUUUCUGCCCU